rnacentral:rRNA from 1 species
UCCCGAGCGUUNUCCGGAUUUAUUGGGCGUAAAGCGAGCGCAGGCGGUUAGAUAAGUCUGAAGUUAAAGGCUGUGGCUUAACCAUAGUACGCUUUGGAAACUGUUUAACUUGAGUGCAGAAGGGGAGAGUGGAAUUCCAUGUGUAGCGGUGAAAUGCGUAGAUAUAUGGAGGAACACCGGUGGCGAAAGCGGCUCUCUGGUCUGUAACUGACGCUGAGGCUCGAAAGCGUGGGGAGCGAACAGGAUUAGAUACCCUGGUAGUCCACGCCGUAAACGAUGAGUGCUAGGUGUUAGGCCCUUUCCGGGGCUUAGUGCCGCAGCUAACGCAUUAAGCACUCCGCCUGGGGAGUACGACCGCAAGGUUGAAACUCAAAGGAAUUGACGGGGGCCCGCACAAGCGGUGGAGCAUGUGGUUUAAUUCGAAGCAACGCGAAGAACCUUACCAGGUCUUGACAUCCCGAUGCCCGCUCUAGAGAUAGAGUUUUACUUCGGUACAUCGGUGACAGGUGGUGCAUGGUUGUCGUCAGCUCGUGUCGUGAGAUGUUGGGUUAAGUCCCGCAACGAGCGCAACCCUUAUUGUUAGUUGCCAUCAUUCAGUUGGGCACUCUAGCGAGACUGCCGGUAAUAAACCGGAGGAAGGUGGGGAUGACGUCAAAUCAUCAUGCCCCUUAUGACCUGGGCUACACACGUGCUACAAUGGCUGGUACAACGAGUCGCAAGUCGGUGACGGCAAGCUAAUCUCUUAAAGCCAGUCUCAGUUCGGAUUGUAGGCUGCAACUCGCCUACAUGAAGUCGGAAUCGCUAGUAAUCGCGGAUCAGCACGCCGCGGUGAAUACGUUCCCGGGCCUUGUACACACCGCCCGUCACACCACGAGAGUUUGUAACACCCGAAGUCGGUGAGGUANCCUUUUAGGAGCCA